rnacentral:rRNA from 1 species
CCUACGGGCGGCUGCAGUGGGGAAUAUUGGACAAUGGGGGGAACCCUGAUCCAGCCAUGCCGCGUGUGUGAAGAAGGCCCUCGGGUUGUAAAGCACUUUCAGUGAGGAAGAACGCCUGGUGGUUAAUACCCAUCAGGAAAGACAUCACUCACAGAAGAAGCACCGGCUAACUCCGUGCCAGCAGCCGCGGUAAUACGGAGGGUGCGAGCGUUAAUCGGAAUUACUGGGCGUAAAGCGCGCGUAGGUGGCUUGAUAAGCCGGUUGUGAAAGCCCCGGGCUCAACCUGGGAACGGCAUCCGGAACUGUCAAGCUAGAGUGCAGGAGAGGAAGGUAGGAUUCCCGGUGUAGCGGUGAAAUGCGUAGAGAUCGGGAGGAAUACCAGUGGCGAAGGCGGCCUUCUGGACUGACACUGACACUGAGGUGCGAAAGCGUGGGUAGCAAACAGGAUUAGAUACCCGGGUAGUC